CCCGCAACGAGCGCAACCCUUGCCAUUAGUUGCUAACAUUCAGUUGAGCACUUUAAUGGGACUGCCGGUGACAAACCGGAGGAAGGUGGGGAUGACGUCAAGUCCUCAUGGCCCUUAUGACCAGGGCUUCACACGUCAUACAAUGGUCGGUACAGAGGGUCGCCAACCCGCGAGGGGGAGCUAAUCUCAUAAAACCGAUCGUAGUCCGGAUUGCACUCUGCAACUCGAGUGCAUGAAGUCGGAAUCGCUAGUAAUC
rnacentral:rRNA from 1 species